UCAAAGAUGGGAGGUUUUAUUUUUCGGCCGUCGAAGUGCAUUCCUUCCCUUUACUGACUUGUGUGUUUUGUCUAAUUCACAUGCUGUCGGUUACUGUACAGAACCACAGCAGCUCUGGAUACACACACACACACACAUUCUUUUACAACAUCAUACAGUACAAUGUCAAGGACACACAGCUAGCUAACUAUAAAAGGUGUUUUUAAAAAAAGAAGAUGAGUAG